rnacentral:rRNA from 1 species
UGCGCAGGCGGUGAUGUAAGACAGAUGUGAAAUCCCCGGGCUCAACCUGGGACCUGCAUUUGUGACUGCAUCGCUGGAGUGCGGCAGAGGGGGAUGGAAUUCCGCGUGUAGCAGUGAAAUGCGUAGAUAUGCGGAGGAACACCGAUGGCGAAGGCAAUCCCCUGGGCCUGCACUGACGCUCAUGCACGAAAGCGUGGGGAGCAAACAGGAUUAGAUACCCUGGUAGUCCACGCCCUAAACGAUGUCAACUGGUUGUUGGGUCUUCACUGACUCAGUAACGAAGCUAACGCGUGAAGUUGACCGCCUGGGGAGUACGGCCGCAAGGUUGAA